GAGUAUGCAAACAGAAAUGGAGGGAGGAAGAUGCACAUUGAUUUUACAGCAGGGAAAGUGAGACCUACUGACCCAGUCCAAGUAGCAAAGCUUUCUUCUGAGUGUCAUAUUCACAUCAGGAGCAAAAUGCACGUUGCUACGCACUGGAAUGACUAUGCCAAAAGCCCACUCAAACAUGUUAUUCCCCAUGCUAUUAAAGAUAUUGCGAUUAACUUUGAGAUGGAAAAGGAUGAAAAGGUUGGGAAUGAUGAAUGCACAAAAGUAAUCCAGAAGGGUGUUCGACAACAACGCUACAGGCUAAAGAAGAAAUACUUGAAUGGUUAUACUGAUCAGGAAGCAUUAUAAAAUAAGCCACUGAACAUUACUCAUGAGAAUUGGACCAGCCUUGUCAAUAAAUGGUCUGAUGAAAGAAACAAGAAAAUAUGUCGAAUGAAUAAGGAAAACCGAGAAGCUGUCAAGCAUCACCAAAAGACUGGAUGUAUGUCUUAUGUUGCUUAUUUCAGUAAACUUAGAAAAGACAAGUACAAUAAUCAGGACCCAAGUCCAAUUGAGUUUUUCAAAGACACCCAUACAAACAGCAAGACUGGUAGCAUGAGCGAGUCAUCACUUCUAGCUCAUAAUGCGAUUGAAGAGAAAACGGAAACACAAUCAGAAGGUGCGCAACCAGUAUCCGAUACAGCAAUUGUGGCUGAAGUUCUAAAGGAAGAAAGUGCCCAUAGCACCUUCCUUUCCAGCAUGGGGUAUGCAUCAAGACCCGUGAGGUAUGGGAGCUCUACUUCAUCAGCCCGAAUCCGAGUUCUAGAUGAAAGAAUUGAACAAAAGGAUAGAGAGGCAAGAGAUGCGAAUGACAGGCAUCGGGAGGAGUUAGCCGCAAGACUUGAAGCACAAGAGAGAGUAUUUGAAAAGAUAAAAAAGAAGCAGCAAGAAGAAUUGGAAGCUCUAAAGAAGAGCCCGGAAGAGAAGAAUGAAGCCUGUGUAAAGAAGCAGAAGGAGAUGGAUAAUCUGCUUGAUUUUCUCUUGAGGGCUCAAGCAACUCAACAAGCAACUUCGUACUCCCAGUCACAACCUGAUGGUUCAUGA
rnacentral:rRNA from 1 species